UUACGGCCGCAUCAUGUUGAAACACCGGUUCCCGUACGAUCACAGAAGUUAAGCAACGUCGGAAACGGUCAGUACUUAGAUGGGUGAACAACUAGGC